rnacentral:lncRNA from 1 species
AAAUCUUCACGAACAUAUUUUCAAACGUCAUACGUCUUUUAUUAUUCUUUUCAAAACGUGUUCCAAACUCAAAUAAAAUAAAAGAACAUCUCACCUUUGAAUGCCUUUGCCGUUCAGCCUAAUAUCCAACCUCAUUAGUCCCAUUGAAAAGAAAAUAAACAAACUCUCGUGUUUCGAACAAGCCGUCUCUAAAUUGUCGAUAACAAUCGCCGCUGCAAUAUAAAACGCAUUGCUACUGCAGAGCUCCCGCCAACACAACGCGUUCCAUUUUCAAAUAUUUGAAUUUUGAAUUUAUUAUUUUUUUAUUUUGAUUCCAAGAUGCCUUGCGGAGGUUGCGGUGACAAUUGCAAAUGCAGUACAAACCAGUGCUGCCAGACCUGCAAGUGCGAUGCAUCUUGCACAUGCAGUUGCAAACGAUCUGCACCAGCCACUGACCCUGCUAAGACCACCAAGAAGUAAAAUCUACGUAUUAUGAAACUCCUUCGUUGUCUAAAAAAAAAAUAUAGCAAACGAAUAAUUCGAUAGACGUAAAUACAGAUGCUAGUGCGUCAAGCUACACAACUCUGAAAAAUUUCACCAAGCAAUAUUGAACCUUAUGCUGAAGAGAUAAAGUUGAAAAUCUAUUAAAGGAAUAUGGCAGAUUGCAGUGGCUUGAUGCGCCGUGUGUACAGACCCCAACCUGUCAAAUUUCGUCAAUAGAUUUUCAACCUUAUCACAAUAGCGGAAGGUUAAUGUUCGAUUGGCAAAAUUUCACAGACUCGUGUAGGUUGACCUGCUAGCGUCUUUACAAGAAUUUUAUGAGUAAAGUCUUUUUUCUCGAUUCAAAAUUAAUGCUGAAAUGAACUUGAAAAUUGAAGUCACGGUAACUUAUUGGUUUUAAUGUAUGCUUGAAAACAUCUGAUUAAAUACUAGGUAAUAAAAUUGCAAAUUGAAAGUGUUACAUUCAACGAAACGUUUUGCCUUUGACAUGCAUAAGUUCAGAUAUCUCUUCUUUCAAUAACUGGGUAAUUAUGCAAUUAAUUCUGAUGUUAAACAGUAUUUUAUAAGCGUAUUUUUAUAAUCUUGUGUUAUUACUGUUUCCAGUAACUUUUGACUUUGUAUUGUUUGAAAAUAUACAUACCUACUUAAGCUAUUGCAUCGCUAAGUGUAAUUUUACAAUAAAAAAAAGAAUUAAUUUACUAUCAUUUUUUCCGAUUUGCCGUUUUUCAGGGCCAGUAUUUUGUACGAAAAUAAUACUAUACUUAGAAUAUAAAACUUUGACAUAUUUCGUUAUUAUUGUAUUAAAAUUAAAAGUUCACGUCAUUA